UUAAGUUCAGCGGGUAAUCCUGCCUGAUCUGAGGUCUAAUCUAAAAGUAUUUGACUAGAAGGAUUGGUAGCUUCCACUCUUAUCUACACAUUCGGCCACCAACUCCGAAGAGUCAAUGCUCCUCAGCGAAUAGUCUAUUACGCUGAGUCAAUCCGAAGUUCGAAAUUGAGAUGCUAAUGUAUUACGAACGAGCAACCUCA
rnacentral:misc_RNA from 1 species